rnacentral:rRNA from 1 species
GUAGGGAAUAUUGGGCAAUGGAUGCAAGUCUGACCCAGCCAUCCCGCGUGCCGGAAGAAGGCCCUCAGGGUUGUAAACGGCUUUUGACGGUGAAGAACCGACAGGAUGCGUCCUGUUUUGACGGUAGCCGUUGAAUAAGCACCGGCUAACUCCGUGCCAGCAGCCGCGGUAAUACGGAGGGUGCGAGCGUUGUCCGGAUUUAUUGGGUUUAAAGGGGGCGUAGGCUGGGAGGUCAGUCAGCGGUGAAAAGCUGUCGCUUAACGAUAGUCUUGCCGCAAAUACUGCCGUUCUUGGAUGAGGAGGAGGCCACUGGAACGGAUGGUGUAGCGGUGAAAUGCAUAGAUAUCAUCCAGAACACCGAUUGCGAAGGCAGGUGGCUGUACCUUAAUCGACGCUGAUGCACGAAAGCAUGGGGAGCAAACAGGAUUAGAAACCCGAGUAGUCC